UGCAUAUCAAUAAGCGGAGGAAAAGAAACCAACAGGGAUUGCCUCAGUAACGGCGAGUGAAGCGGCAAGAGCUCAACUUUGGAAUCGCUGCGGCGAGUUGUAGUCUGGAGGUGGCCGGUCCCGGCGCCAGCGCGCAGCCAAGUCCUUUGGAACAAGGCGCCUGAGAGGGUGACAGCCCCGUGGCAGUUUGUGCUGGUGCCGCCUCGGCCCACCGACGAGUCGAGUUGUUUGGGAAUGCAGCUCUAAGUGGGUGGUAAAUUCCAUCUAAAGCUAAAUACCGGCGAGAGACCGAUAGCGAACAAGUACAGUAAUGGAAAGAUGAAAAGCACUUUGAAAAGAGAGUGAAACAGUACGUGAAAUUGUUGAAAGGGAAGGGCUUGCACCCAGACACGGCCUUCUGGCCGGGCCAGCAUCGGGUGGGAGGGAGCGACAACGAGCAGUCGAUGUAGUACAGCCCUCUGGGCUGUGCAUUAUACGUCUUGCUUUCUGGCUCCUCUCCCGCCCGAGGACCGCAGCAAUAAGGAUGCUGGCGCAAUGGUUGCAAGCCACCCGUCUUGAA
rnacentral:rRNA from 4 species